rnacentral:sRNA from 1 species
AUAUCAAUAAGCGGAGGAAAAGAAACCAACAGGGAUUGCCCUAGUAACGGCGAGUGAAGCGGCAACAGCUCAAAUUUGAAAUCUGGCUCUUUCAGAGUCCGAGUUGUAAUUUGCAGAGGGCGCUUUGGCUUUGGCAGCGGUCCAAGUUCCUUGGAACAGGACGUCACAGAGGGUGAGAAUCCCGUACGUGGUCGCUAGCUAUUGCCGUGUAAAGCCCCUUCGACGAGUCGAGUUGUUUGGGAAUGCAGCUCUAAAUGGGAGGUAAAUUUCUUCUAAAGCUAAAUAUUGGCCAGAGACCGAUAGCGCACAAGUAGAGUGAUCGAAAGAUGAAAAGCACUUUGGAAAGAGAGUCAAACAGCACGUGAAAUUGUUGAAAGGGAAGCGCUUGCAGCCAGACUUGCUUGCAGUUGCUCAUCCGGGCUUUUGCCCGGUGCACUCUUCUGCAGGCAGGCCAGCAUCAGUUUGGGCGGUGGGAUAAAGGUCUCUGUCACGUACCUCUCUUCGGGGAGGCCUUAUAGGGGAGACGACAUACCACCAGCCUGGACUGAGGUCCGCGCAUCUGCUAGGAUGCUGGCGUAAUGGCUGUAAGCGGCCCGUCUUGAAACACGGACCAAGGAGUCUAACAUCUAUGCGAGUGUUUGGGUGUCAAGCCCGAGCGCGUAAUGAAAGUGAACGGAGGUGGGAACCCGCAAGGGCGCACCAUCGACCGAUCCUGAAGUUUACGGAAGGAUUUGAGUAAGAGCAUGGCUGUUGGGACCCGAAAGAUGGUGAACUAUG